AUGCACCGGGUUUCAUGGAAAAACCUUGCUACACCAAAGUGCAAAGGAGGUAUGUGUUUUCGAGAACCCCAUCAGUUUAAUCUUGCACUAUUAGGGAAAUACGGCUGGAGGUUCUUAACGAACCCAGAUUCUUUAUGUGCGAGAGUAUUAAAAGGGCGUUACUUCCCUGAUACAGAUUUCAUGCAUGCAACUAUUCCUAAAUCUGCUUCUGCAACUUGGAGAGCUAUUAUAGCAGGUAGGGAAGCUUUGGUUGCUGGUCUAAUAAAAAGAGUUGGUGAUGGGACUUCCAUCGAUGCCUGGACGGAUAAAUGGAUUCCUGGAACUAUUUCUAUGUCCCCUAUGUUGAAACCGAUGAACACCAAUGUCCAGUUUGUUUCGGACUUGAUUGAUGUGGACAAUUGGUCAUGA
rnacentral:rRNA from 1 species